AAAAAUCAUUUUUAGUUAAAUUAAACUUUUCUUCUUCCUAAUACUUAGUUAUGUUAUAAUCAUUACGGGCGAAAAAAGUUAGGGGGGGUGAACAAAAAUUUGCCCGACGUUGAUGGAAAUUGCUCAACAUUAUUAUCAUCGUUUUAUUGAUUGAUGGAUGAAUAGGUUAAGAUAAAUAGAAGGGACACAUCUCCUAUACAGACGCGCAGAAAUAAAGUCAAUCUUAGAACUACAGUGCAAACGACGAGAUUAGUUUAAAUACCAGAUCUCGUAAAAGUCAUUAAGACACAAUUCGGG